rnacentral:rRNA from 1 species
AUGCAGAAGCGCGACCUCGACAUCCUCCUCCUGGCUGCCUUCACCGUCUACUUCUCGCUCCAGCACGAGGGCGACUUCUCAUUCCGGGAGGCGUGGUACCACCUGUCGGACGACGGGUUCCCGAUUAAGCACGACGUGCACCGCCUCCCGCCGUCGCUAGUCGCCGACCUCAAUGGCGACGGUCGCCACGAGGUGCUGCUCCUCACGCACGAUGCCAAGAUCCAGGUCCUCCAGCUCCUGGCCCACGCCGGGCUGGCCUCCACGGUCGCCCUCGACGGCUUCCACGAUGCACGCGUCAUGGCCGAGAUCUCCCUGCUCCCGGCCAACGUGCGUGCGUCAUGGGGUCGAGAUUUUUUUUUUGGUUUUUCAAAUUAA